UACGUAGGGUGCGAGCGUUAAUCGGAAUUACUGGGCGUAAAGCGUGCGUAGGCGGUUGGCAAAGUCAGCUGUGAAAGCCCCGGGCUUAACCUGGGAAUGGCGGUUGAAAUUAGUCGACUUGAAUCUGGCAGAGGGGGGUGGAAUUCCACGUGUAGCAGUGAAAUGCGUAGAGAUGUGGAGGAACACCGAUGGCGAAGGCAGCCCCCUGGGCUGAGAUUGACGCUGAGGAGCGAAAGCGUGGGGAGCGAACAGG
rnacentral:rRNA from 1 species